rnacentral:tRNA from 1 species
GGAUCUAUGGUGCAAUGGUAGUGCAUCUAACUCUAGAUUAGAAGGUUGCGUGUUCGAUUCACGUUGGGUUCA